CCCCCUGGUUCUUUCCACUGUUGCCUAGUCUUCUCUCCGACUUGAGCGUUGGAGGGUCUCCACCAGAGACAUCUCCGGUCAGUGAGGACUUUCUUUGCAGGUGCGCGUUCCCGACGAUCAAACGACGAGGGGAUUGGCCGCAACAGAUUUGGCACGCCAGGAAGGGGGUGCAAGCGUGUCUUCUGCAGCCACGGCGGCGGUAAAAUAGCGAGCUCCAUAGAGCU
rnacentral:lncRNA from 1 species